rnacentral:rRNA from 1 species
AUUGAACGCUGGCGGCAUGCUUUACACAUGCAAGUCGAACGGCAGCGCGGGCUUCGGCCUGGCGGCGAGUGGCGAACGGGUGAGUAAUGCAUCGGAACGUGCCCAGUAGUGGGGGAUAGCCCGGCGAAAGCCGGAUUAAUACCGCAUACGACCUGAGGGUGAAAGCGGGGGACCGAAAGGCCUCGCGCUAUUGGAGCGGCCGAUGUCGGAUUAGCUAGUUGGUGGGGUAAAGGCUUACCAAGGCGACGAUCCGUAGCUGGUCUGAGAGGACGACCAGCCACCCUUGGACCUGGACCACGGCCCAGACCCCUAGGGGGGGCAGAGGGGGGGAAUUUUGGAAAAGGGGGGCAACCCUAAUCCGGCAUUGCCGGGUGGGGGAAGAAGGCCUCCGGGUGUUAAACCCUUUUUGUUGGGAAAAAAAUCCUCUGGGUUAAUCCCCCGGGGGGAGGACGGAACCGGAAAAAAAAGCACCGGCUACCUCCGG